UGGGGCGUCGGGAGGAGCAUCUGGGUUGAAGGUUCUGGUCCUCGCCAUUGAGACUACCGUGUUCGUCGCCGAGUACAUCUGGUAUGUACGCAACGAACCUCCCUAAUGCAAUGUCGCUGCUGUUUAUUUCAUCUUUUGAUUGCGGCAGACUAUAUUCCACUAAGGCACAUUAGGGAGUAGCUUUGGGAUAGGGGCCAAACCUGCAUAUUUUGAUCAAUUAUUUUUAUUAGAUUAGCAAUGGGAGCUUACUGUUCAGUGAGGAUUUUCCCCCUUAAAGUCAUAUUGUUAAUAUCCAAAAAAUUUAAUGGGUGGGUGGUGAUGUCCCACUGCUUUGCCCUUUUAAUUCCAGCACUUAAAUAAGAAUUGGAGGGUAGACGUUGCACAAAUGGAUCAUGUGGCAUUUACUACUGUUGUAUUAUCAUAUCUAGCAUCUCUCUAUAAAAAAUAAAUCUAGCAUUAGUUUUGAACUUCUGAUGAUGUAAGGUAAACACAGAGGCAUAUCUUCGUCAUAGUUGCAUCCUUUAUAGCAGAGAUUUUGUUAUGAAAAAAUUAUUUUGUUGAUGGAAGCCUUUGUGCUUCUGUCACUUGGACGUGAAGUUUUUGUAGACAAUCUUAGGACGUGAAGUGGGAUGCAACAUCUAUAGAUCUACUGACACUGAAAGGUGGUUGUUAGUUAGGUUCUGAUUGUGCCAAUCAAUAAUACACAAUUGUUACUAGGGUUCGGCUACGGAUGCCAUCCAUCAACUCAUGUUUUAAAGUGUGCUUGUGAGAUGCAAUCCGAUCUCUCUAUCUUUCCCGCUGAGAUGCAGAGGAGCUCGGUGUUUUAGGGCCUGGCUGUUGCUGCAGGGGAAGGUGGAGCUGCGAGGAAACAAGACAGGUGGACAAUGCGACAGGAAGCAAGAAUGAAUUUCUAAUCAAUCUACUGUUUCCCUUGAGUCGGGGGGAACGUACCACGCACCACGUUGUGUUUAUUGAUCUGGAAUCCUAGAGGAUCACCCACCCUCGUAAUUCAGUAUUGAGAUGAUCUCCUUAAUUUCUCAAAUGUGUUUUAUUAAAUUGGAUUCCUGUAAUUAUCCUUGCUCUAAUUUGAUAGUUUUACCCUCCCGAGCAUGUUGUGCUUCCAUAAAAACAUGAAUAUUUCUCAGCCAUUUUAUUGAAAAUGUAGUCGUAUGCUUUCACAUUGACUCUGGAUAUUCUCCUAAACGAAGGUCAAGAACAAUUGAUUUUAUCGGCAACAGGAGGCGCUUAUCAGUCGCCAUCAAGUGCCUCAACCAGUGCGGCGUCCAGGUACACACAUUGCUUCAUCUCCUGUGCUAUCUCAUCGUCUAGACAAUAUAUCCAUGGGUGACCCCUAUACUCACCUCAUCUCCAGAUUAGAACAUAAGUGUCGUAGGAGGGUAGGAUCUAGGCAACUGCAGUACUGAUUGUCCAGCUAGGCAACAAAGUCGACGGGGCAAAUAACAUAAUCUUCAGAUAAAGUUAUAUUCGAAAGUCAGUAGGCUUUUCAUGAUUGCCAGUGGUAAAACAAGCAUAUAUUUCUUUUGAUUAUUGACAUAGCACAGCUUAGUAGGGUGGACCAACCAACAUUGGGUUUGGGAGGUCAUUUAAUAGGAAACACUUCGCUGCAAGUUUCUUCACCAUUGAACACAAUUCAUCACAAGACUUUAUAUAUGUUGGCUGUCAUGCAUGUACGUCUGCAACUAAAUAAUUACAGGAUGUUGUGUGCUUGUUCUAUGUCCAGCAGUAAAGAUGUUUGAAGUUUUGUACCAGUUUCCAAUAGAUCAUUUCCUACAACAAUAUUUGUUUUGCAAUCCAAACAAGUAAAUGUCUUGUAAAGAAGUAGAUGUUUCUACAUAUCAACACACCAUUCAAGUUAUUUACAGAAUGAUUUUCUUGGAGCGUUCAUAAUUUCAUGUAUGUUUACAUCAUUAUUCAUGUGUGGGUUGUAUUGUGUUUUCUUUCGUGGGGUGCCGGACACGCUACUGACGGUACUAGCAUGUUUGGGCUGGGGAGACAGAGAUGGUAUGCGGAGUAAGAAGAGUGAUUUAAGGGGAGAGAAAUCAUAACAGGGGUUGGUGGAGCAGAAGAGGGUGAAGGAAGACUUGUGGGGAGCUGCGAGGAAUAGAUUUUGGGGUAUGUUACUAUUUUAUGUGUGAUAUCAGUUCAUAAUUUACUGCAGCGGUCAGUUCUCUACUUUCUAUGUACUAGGUUAAUUCUAUUUGCUAGCCUGAAGUGUUUUUUCUAUAGCAACUAAAUAUUGUGAAAGUAACCCUGAAACAUACACACAUCUACUAAAUGCAAAAUUGUUUCUCUGUUGGUACGAACAAUCAUGUAGAUUACUGCAUGUAGUUUCGUUUUGCACACAACAUACUCUCCAGUAGUGCUGAAAUUAGAAUCUCAAUCCCUGUCCAUUAUACAAGAUGCAAAAGAGUUCAGAAUAAGAUAUCCAUCAUCAUAUUCACGCAUUUUCUGUUGUAAUAUAUAUUUUGUAUUUGUGUACAGGUUGACACAUUACACAUACAUACAGUAUGUCUAACUUAUGCAGAAGAAAAGGGGCCCUUCAUAUAAAUUAUUUGCAUGCUCAUAGUUAUGAACUUAAUACACUUUGCCUGGCAUUCAUAACCAUUAUACUUCCUCCUGCCCAAAUUUGUUGUCCUACGUAAUAGUGUUCCACUUUGCGCCUACCACUGGUAGCUGGAAAUUAGAUAUAAUAAUAAUCAGUUUCCUUGCUAGAUUUGUUUCCUUAUAGGAUAUCCUGCCGAUUUGAUCUAUUUUUGGCUAGAGCACAUGGGAUCAAACCAGAGGUAAUCAAUUUUCUAUGUUCACCUGAUUAGUUAUAAGGAAUUUAUUACCUCUGUUUUAUUUCCAGGAUACCCAAACCAGUGGUAAUGUUUUUUAUGGCUUUGAAAUUCUGUACAAGGUAUUCUCAUGUCUAAAUACUAGAAUUGUUUGUUCAUUGCUAAAUUGUUAAUGAGGGGUCCAUGUAGUGCUCUCAGUGGAGACACUAGACCAUCUGAUGUUCAUUUAGACAUUUCUAUUCAAACUUUCAAAGUGAUUGUUUUCUUUUUGUGUGUCCACACAGUUGUUUGUGUGCAUCCAAUAUAAAACUUGCUAUGAAUUUGCACCACCUACACCCUUUUUCCAUGUCUUAGUCUAUAUGAAUUACCCACUUUAUAUACCGCAAAAAGAAAUUACCCACUUUAUAAUAACUCACAUGUUAAUUAAAAGGAAAAAGAUCUGAACCAUCGACACUCUAUAAGUUAAGUUGUUCAACUAAAAUUUAACAAAGAGAUAUUUGAUUCCAUGGAUCUCUAAUUUUUCUGCAGUGUUGUAAUUAUAUUGUCUCGGGUGUUGUUGUACGUUCCUUGUAUCAUGUUGACUUACUCCUUGAUCAAUAGGGAUGUGGAUACAAAAUUCCAUUUUCCACUACUUAUAUUAUCCUCAUUGGACCUUAAGCUAUAAUCAUCGGUUGUUGUUGUGUGUCUGCCUGCCUGGCAAUGUUUCACCUCUAUUUUUGACCUACUGUUGACUUAUUUGGAACCUGAGAAAGAAUUAUUUUACAUGUUAGAGUACUCUCAUAUGUUCGAAGUCAUAAAACCAGCUGAGAUAAUGAAAUAAUGCCAGGUAAUUACUCGUGGUUUCAAGGUUGCGCAAAGGAGAGGAGGCAUGGUUAUAGGUCCUCGACAACAUCUGCGCCUCAUAGGUCAGCCAUGAUUCUCGGAUUUUUUUGUUCUGCUGUUAUUCCCAAAGAAACAUCGUAGUUCUUUUGGAUGGUGAAAGAUUAUUCAGUUACUGAAAUACUUCUUAUCCAAAGAGCUGGGAAUAUUUAAAACAUCUAAAUUGCUUAUCUCAACACUAUAAUAGAAAGUACUAUCUCGAAAAUAAUAACAAAACACCGUGAUAAACUGGGCACCGAAGCCAUAUUGACACAGACCCAUGAUCAAUGAUAUGUGAGCCAAGUCUUCCCGUGAACUUACAGCCACCCAUUGAGUGCAUGAUUUCUUCCAUCUCCUUUUCUUUUGUUUUCCAGGGCAGAUAUUCCACUGUGCAUCGUAUUUGACCAUACUUAACCAAGUUGAUUCAUAUCAAUUAGUAUCUUUUGGUUUUCUUCCAGUUUAUUAGGCAUGGACCCAGCCACAAAUUCUGAAGCUUCAAUAAUUUGGGUGGUCUAAUAGUUCCUGUAUAGCUUGAUGUCAUAUCAGGUGUAAUAUUUUGUUGUUGCUUGAUGUUGCAUCAAGACAAGCUAGGGUCAACAAGGAACAAAGGGGUUGACACAUGGAGAAGCGGGAGCAUAAAAUUCAAAAGGUACUGAACAUGUGUAUGGAUUACACCGGUGAGUGAAUGGUGUGGCACAUUGAGUCAGAGAGGAGUAGUUGCUUGUCUGGUAUGAAAAACAGUUGUUUCUCGAUUAGAUUAAGGCCAAACUUAUCUUCAACAUGUGUGGUCUUUCAUCACCAUUUUAAAAGAGGUUCAAUGCAAAAUCCUAAGACUGCCAAUUUUUACUAUAUUGGAAGUACUUUAUCGAUACGUUUGGAACAAUUCUCAGAUUCCAUGAAACAUAUUCGUGGCACCAAUUUUAACUAAAGAAUAAAUCAAUC
rnacentral:lncRNA from 1 species